rnacentral:rRNA from 1 species
GCGUUGUCCGAGGUUACUGGGCGUAAAGCGCGUGUAGGCGGUUUGUUAAGCCCGCUGUGAAAGCCCGGUGCUCAACGCCGGAGGGUCGGUGGAUACUGGCAGUCUUGAAGUGGCUAGGGGGAAAUGGAAUUACCGGUGUAGCGGUGAAAUGCGUAGAUAUCGGUAGGAACACCAGUGGCGAAGGCGGUUUCCUGGAGCUAACUUGACGCUGAGACGCGAAAGCUGG